UCGUGCUAGACGGGGAACUAGCGGUGCCCUGUACCCGAGAUCCGCUAUAGCGGGGUUGAAUCCCGACUCGAGGGUUUUGUAUUUUGGGACUGCUGCGGUAAAGCGGCGUUGAGGGCUGGGUCUUGCGCGGCGGAGGGCUAUGAAUCCCGUCAGGUCCGGAAGGAAGCAGCGGUAAAUAGUAUACUCCGGGUGCCGCAAGGCUACCUGGUCGGAGCUGGCUAGCCGGGGCAAGCUAGAGGACAGGAAUCGACAGUCGGUGCACGA
rfam:Chloroflexi bacterium RBG_19FT_COMBO_48_23 rbg_19ft_combo_scaffold_8472, whole genome shotgun sequence.